ACUGAAAAAUCAAAUGUGGUUUUUCAAUCACAAAAGCCAAAAUUUAGGAUAAAUUGGAACCAUUAACUAUGGUAGAGGGAAUUUCUAGUGGAGCGGUGAAAUGUGGAGAGAUCGAAAAGAACACUAAUGGCAAAAGCACUUUGCUGGCCGACAUUGACACUCAGAGGCAAAAGUUAAGGGAGCGAAUGGGAUUAGAUGCCCCGGUAGUCCUAGUCGUAAACGAUGGACACUAGACGCUAUGCGUAUCGACCCAUGCAGUACGAAUUGUGAGUCGAAUGAGUCUUGU
rnacentral:ncRNA from 1 species